ensembl:lncRNA
AGGCUGGCAACCCCCAAGCCCCUGUUCUGGGAGCACCUCAGCCAGCCGUUCCCCUGCUGACAGUGCUGAGCAGAUGUAACCCCAGCAGAGGGACGGCUGUAUGCCGUUUGGGAUGCUCCUCAGCCUCAAGUCCUGGCUCUGACAAAGGAUGUACUCAGUCUCGCGGCCAAGGCACCCAAGGCCUGGCGGCCGAUGGAAGCAGAGCUGCAAAGAUAGCAGUUGUUGGAGGACGGCAAGAUAUUGGACCUGCAGGAUCUCAGGACAGCAAGCAUCAAAUCCCACUCACACAAAGUUACAAAUGGGGAUUUUUCUGGAAGAAUAUGCAGACCACAAGGAACAACUUUAGAACUGGGUUCUGAAAGGAUGAGUCUGGGAUCUUAGAACCAGAAAUUAACCUUCAGGUAAGGCCCUGUUCAUGAUAUGAAUAGCUCUAGCAGUCUUGAUUCAGGUUUCAGAUUUCAGUGGAAGAGCAAGUAGGACUACACUGGGCCACGUGGUUAAUGCUAGAUAGCCACCGGAUGGAGGGGUGGGUGGGGAGAGGGUAGGGAAAUGUACUUCACAAGAGUCAAAUUAGGUGUUGAG